rnacentral:rRNA from 1 species
UGGGGAAUCUUCCGCAAUGGACGAAAGUCUGACGGAGCAACGCCGCGUGAGUGAUGACGGCCUUCGGGUUGUAAAGCUCUGUUAAUCGGGACGAAUGGUUCUUGUGCGAAUAGUGCGAGGAUUUGACGGUACCGGAAUAGAAAGCCACGGCUAACUACGUGCCAGCAGCCGCGGUAAUACGUAGGUGGCAAGCGUUGUCCGGAAUUAUUGGGCGUAAAGCGCGCGCAGGCGGAUUGGUCAGUCUGUCUUAAAAGUUCGGGGCUUAACACCGUGAUGGGAGGGAAGCUGCCAAUCUAGAGUAUCGGAGUCGAAAGUGGAAUUCCUAGUGUAGCGGUGAAAUGCGUAGAUAUUAGGAAGAACACCGGUGGCGAAGGCGAGUUUCUGGACGAAAACUGACGCUAAGGCGCGAAAGCCAGGGGAGCGAACGGG